UCUAUGCCAGGAACCCUAGAUGAAAACCAGAUAUACACUCUUUAUUAUAUUACAAUAGCACAAAGCUGCCCCAGGGAAGGGUCCUCUUCCAAGCUUGCUCAGUGGCUGUGGGCUGGAUUGAGCUCUUCACUAGCUACUGAACUGAGGGCCUCAGUUUCUCAGAGGCUGUUACCCAAAGGCCUCCCUCAGCUCCCUGCCAUAUGGGCCUCUCCACAGGGCAACUCACCAUAUGGUGGCUGGCUUCACCAGAGCAAGCAAACAAGAAGAGCCCGAGAGAAGACUAACAAGCUGGAAGUCACCAUCCGUCCAACCUAAUCUCGGAAGUGACAUCUCAUCACUCUUGCUGUAUUCUAUCAGGAGGAAGAAAUGAUGUCUUCCGGGGAGGCUGCCGGGGCUUCUGUGAGGUCCAGCAAUGAGUUGGAGGCACCAGCACUGCACUGAAAUCAAUGUCUCCCAAGACGGAGAAUGCCUGGGGAGGCAGGAGCUCCGCUCCCCUGCAGGAACCUCCCAAGAAGGACCCGAGCGUCCCCGCAGCCUGGAGACUGGCCGUCUGCGGUUGAGCACCCGGGACCUGCUCCAGGUGCUUCUUGGCCAUAUUUACUUCCCCGGCUCCGGGUGCGUCAGGCCGACUGCCCACGUGCAGCUGGGUUUCCUCUGUUUAGCUGCAUCCACAGGGGUCAUGUAUCCGUAUCGGUCUUUCUAAGGGGAGCUCUGUGGUUUUAUUCAUUCAUUCAUUCAUUCAUUCACCCACGCAUCUACUGAGCACCUACUACAUAUCAUGAACUGUCCUAGGCACUAAUGAAUAACACCAAACGUGCUCAUUGUAACAGUCUCUGAUGAUUGCUAAGAUCACGUGGAAGAAAGCAAAAACCGUCAGCCUCAUGGUCAUGUGAGCAAAGCCUGUGCCCUGACCCACCCACCGCCAGCCCCAUGAGCUCUGGCAACCCCAGGAUCUCACUGAGCCUCGGUUUCUGUAUCUGUAGAAUGGGGAUAAUGAUGGUGAGGGCCCAGGUUUGCAGACAGAAGGGACAUGCGGUAGGGCCCCAGGCCAGGUUUCUGCCCUCCCACCCCCUUCCCUUCAUGCCCAUUCUCUGGGAGAAAAAAAAAAAUG
rnacentral:lncRNA from 1 species